rnacentral:lncRNA from 1 species
GUUAAAAAUGGAUCGUUUUGUACAUUUGACAGUCAUUUUUAACAUUAUAGAGAUGUCUCUGCCAAGUGGUAAGAAAACAUUGCCAUAGUCAAGAAAAACUACUUCAAUGUUGUUUUUAUACGACCGCAAAAAUUGAUUUUUUUUUGGUCGUAUAUUGGUAUCACGUUGGCGUCGUCGUCGUCGUCCGAAGACAUUUGGUUUUCGCACUCUAACUUUAGUAAAAGUAUAUAGAAAUCUAUGGAAUUUAAACACAAGGUUUAUGACCAUAAAAGGAAGGUUGGGAUUGAUUUUGGGUGUUUUGGUUCCAACAGUUUAGGAAUUAGGGACCGAAAAGCUAGGGCACUAAUAAGCAUUUUUCUUGGUUUUCGCACAAUAACUUUAUUAUUAAGUGAACAGAAAUCUAAGAAAUUUUAACAUAAGGUCUAUGAUGACAAAAGGAAGAUUUGGAUUGAUUUUGGGAGUUUUAGUCGUAACAGUUGAGGAAUUAGGGGCCAAAAAAGGUCCCAAAUAAGCAUUUUUCUUGGUUUUUGCACAAUAACUUUAGUAUAAGUUAAUAGAAAUCUAUGCAAUUUAAACACGAGGUUUAUGACCACAAAAGGAAGGUCUGGAUUGAUUUUGGGAGUUUUGGUCCUAACGAAUUAGGGGCCAAAGGGUCCAAAAUUAAACUUUGUUUGAUUUCAUCAAAAAAUGAAUUAUUGGGGUUCUUUGAUAUGCCAAAUCUAACCGUGUAUUCAGAUUCUUAAUUGUUGGUUCUGUUUUCAAAUUGGUCUACAUUAAGUUCCAAAGGGUCCGAAAUUAAACUCAGCUUGAUUUUAACAAAAAUUGAAUUCUUGGGGUUCCUUGAUCAUGUUGAUAUGCUGAAUCUUAACAUGCACUUAGAUUUUUGAUUAUUGGCCCCAAAAUUAUUAUAUUAAGUAUUGUGCAAUAGCAAGAAAUUUUCAAUUGCACAGUAUUGCGCAAUGACAAGAAAUCUUCAAUUGCACAGUAUUGGGCAAUAGCAAGAAAUUUUCAAUUGCACAGUAUUGCGCAAUAGCAAGAAAUCGUCAAUGGCACAGUAUUGUGCAAUAGCAAGAAAUCUUAAAUUGUACAAUAUUGCGCAAUAGCAAGAAAUUUUCAAUUGCACAGUUUUGUGCAAUAGCAAGAAAUAUUCAAUUGCACAGUUUUGUCCCGUUUUCAAAUUGGUCUACAUUAAGGUCCAAAGGGUCACAAAUUAAACUUUGUUUGAUUUCAACAAUUUGUUAAGUUUAAGUUCUUAAACCAUAUUCAUUCUGUGUCCGACAGCUACGAUGUGUCAACUAUUUAAUCACAAUCCAAAUUCAGAGCUGUAUCAAGCUUUAAUGUUGUGUCCAUACUUGCCCCAACUGUUCAGGGUUCGACCUCUGCUGUCGUAUAAAGCUGCACCCUGCGGAGCAUCUGGUUGCAGUUGGUUAUAUCCAUAUAUCGGAUACUGUAAGCAUCAUAUGUCUUCUAUUUGGUGAAUGGACUGACUGUAAGGUGUACAUGCCCAACUGGCAGUUAUAAUCUGUUCUUGACCUCAUUUUCAUGGUUCAGUGGUUUGAGUUUGGUAUUUAUUCUGAUACUAUAUGGAAUAUGUCAGUCUGGCAGAUUGUGUUUGUCCUUGACCUCGUUUUUACGGUUUUAAUUAAGUUUUUGUGCUUGGUCUGUUUUUCCUAAAACUAUAAGGAAUAGGUCAACCUUAUGUGAUGUAUGGUAUGAUUUUGAGUGCAUAUCUGUUUGGCAGUUAUCACCUGACCUUGACCUAAUUUAUGCAUAUAUUGACCGCUUUGGUCUGUUUUGUUCUUCAAAAAAAAACUAUAAGCAAUUAUAGGUCAUCUAUAUAUUUGGUGUAUGAUAUGAUUGCAAGUUGCAUAUAUAUGCCAUCUGGCAUGGCUCGUCUGACUUUGACCUCUUUUCCAUAUUUCCUUCUUAAAUGAUAAUGGUUAUGACUAAGCAAUAGGUCAACUAUAUUUUAUGUAUGGAAAGAUUGUAAGGUGUAAAUGUAUUUUCAUCAUACCAUAUCUUCUUAUUUCUAUAUUUGAACUUGAAUUCAAUGAUAAGUGAAACUGUAUCCAUGGUAACUGCUUGGCUAAUGAUCCCUUUGACGGAUAUUCGCAGCGAACCAAAAGCGCCGGGAUGUGUCCAAUGCUUACAAACAAAAAUAUCAUUUGUGCGUGUAAGGCGUUUUCUGGAUUUAUUUUAAAAGAUGGAUAUAAGACACCAAUAGAGCAAUCGAACAUCAUAAAUCAAAUAAAACAGAAAAGACCAUGGUAAAAAAUAAAACAAAGAAAAUAAAUACGAAAAGAACAAUAACAAAAGACCCCACAAAAAGCUACUGAUUGACAGAGCAAAAUAACCCUUAAGCUGUUCAUUUUAUACACUCUGGCGCGUUUCUACUGCAGGUACAAGUUCUAUGACCAGUUCGAAUUUCAACUAAGAACAGGUAAACUAUUUGUUGUAAUCAUCGACACGCUUUUCAAACAUUGUCAAACAAAUCAUGCUAUGUUGGGUGUUUCAUGAUAGAACAAACAUUAGUUAUAGUAGUUAGCUCAUUUUCAUUGAUCGUUUGUAAUGUGUGUUUUUUGUCGAUCCUUUUUGUCGCAGAAAGCUCAAGAUAGGAUUAGUGAUCUGACGGCGGCGUUAGCUUACUUCUAAAAAACUUUAUAUUUUAGAAGGUGGACAACCUUGAUGCUUCAUACUUUGUAUAUGGAUGCCUCAUUUUACGACGUUUUCGUCAGUCACAUGUCCAAUGUCCUUAACCUCAUUUUCAUGGUUCAGUGAAUACUUGAAAAAAGUUAAGAUAUUUUGUAGUGUUAAAUUCUUUCUUAUUAUUAGUAAUAUGAUAACUAUAUUUAGCAUGUGUGUACCUUGUACGGUCCUCAUGCCCAUCAGACAGUUUUCGUUUGAUGACAUCGACCUCAUUUCAUGGAUAAGUGAACAAGGUUCAGUUUUGGUGGUCAAGUUCAUAUUGCAGAUACUAUAAGCAAUAGGUCUAGUAUAUCCAGUGUAUGGAAGGACUGUAAGUGUACAUGUCCAAUUGGCAGGUGUCAUCUGACCUUCACCUCAUUUUCAUGGUUCAGUGGUCAUAGAUAGGUUUUUGUGUUUUGGUCUGUUUUUCUUAUACUGUAUGCAAUAGGUCAACUAUAUUUGGUGUAUGGAAAUAUUGUAUGAUCUAUAUCCAUGUCAAUCGCACAGGUUUUAUUUGACCUUGACCUCAUUUUCAUGGUUCAUUGCUCAGUGUAAAGUUUUUUUGUGUUUUGGUCUGAUUUUCUUAAAUUAUUAGCAAAAAGUUAACUAUAUAUGUUGUAUGGAAGAAUUAUUAGCUGUACAUGCCUGCCUGGUAUUGUUCAUACAUGUAUGACCUUGACAUCAUUUUCAUGGUUCAUUGGUCAAUGUUUAGUUUUCUUGGUUAAUGUUAAGUGUAUGUGACAGUUGUAAUAAAGCUUUAUAUUUAGACUAUCAACAUAAUAUCAAUGAUUAGUAAAGAAGGCGAGACAUUUCAGCUCUUUUUUUUCCGACGGAUGUAUUAGUUUGAGAUUAUGUCAGUUUAUUGGGAACCACAAUUAGUAGAUCAAUGAUAUUUGGUAUGUAGUUGUGUAAGCAUCGGCAAAUCUCAUUUCCAUGGAGAUAAUUUGGCUCCGCCUCCUUAGUCAUGGUCUAUUGACUUCGAAAUUUUUCUGAGUUAUCGUAUUAGUUUGUGAUUAGGUCAAUUCAAGGGGAACCAUUAUCGGUAGGUCAAUGUUGAUUGGUAUUCAGUUGUAUAAGCAUUUGCUCAUCUCAUUUCCAUCAAUAUUUGGCCUCACCCCACAGUCUAAUGACUUUGAAACUUAUCUUAGUUUACAUGUAUUAGUUUGUGAUUAGAUCAGUCGAAGAUGAACUGCCAAUGUACAGUCAAUAUGCUAUUUGGUAUUGGCAUUUGCAAGUAUUGUUUCCAUGGAGAUAAUUUAGCCCACCCCCCUCUUAUUGACUUUGAAACUUUUCUAUAAUAGUUUACUAGUUAAUGUUUGUAUUUAGAUUUGGGAACAACUUAUGAUAAGUCAAUGGUCAUGAUGGUUUUUAGUAUGCAGUUGUAUAAGCAUUAGCACAUCUCAUUUACAUUGAGAUUGUUUAGCCAUGUAACCUAGUCAUGGUUCAUUGGCUUUGAAUAUUUUCAUAACUUGUGUAAGAUGUUAAAGUAUUGCCAUUUUCAUGAUUUGAUUUCAACAUUUGCAUAAUCAAAUUACACAAAGGCGAGACAUAAUCUCUGUGAUAACAGUUUAUUCGCAAUUAGAUCCAUUUGUUUCAGAUACUGUACUCGAUAUGCUUACUACAUUUGAUUUAUGGAACUUAAGAUUCCUCGAUAUCUCAGCUUGAAUACUUGAAGUAUAAUAAAUGUACAUAAUCUAUACCGUUUAUUGGUCGUUUUUUUUUUGCAGCAAACAUUUCAGUAUGAUAGUAACCAUAACAUGCCUAUGCGAACAUUUAAAAUUUUACUGUUCGAUGAAAUGCAGUGUACAGGGCAAUAAAACGCAAGAAGGAAAACAGCAACGAUUUAACCAUCCACUUUUGGUCGAUAACCGCGAACAAUAUAGCCGACACAAAAAUAUUAGUAUGUUCAUUUAUCUUUGGCGCCGCAAUGGUAACAGUAUACUAGUAUUCGGAAUUUCAUUUCAUUCACUGGAUUGUUUUUUCAUUUCAGCUAUUCACUGGACAAUGAAACAACCCAUGAUUGAACUUGGUAAGCCCCUACUUUUGAAUUGUGAAAUAUCAAAUACUAUUCCACAAGAUCAAAGUAGACAAUGGACAACAGGAAUUGAAAAUCGACUUUUGUGUUUUGAUAACGUUACAAUUAACAGUAAAAAGUAUACAGGAAGGCUCAAUUCUCCAACUGAAUAUUCAUUAACAAUCUUAAAUACAACAGAAGACGACUUAGUACAUCUGUACUCGUGUAGAGCUGGCUUUGUGUUCCAGCAAAAAAGAUUAGAAGUAAAUGACACAAAUUUAAUACGUAA